CUUUAAGCCAAUGUUUCAUGUUUGCUUGAAAGGAAAUGGAAUCUUAGCAUACCUGUUUUCGCAAGAACUGAAGUCUAGGGAUGGCAACAGCCAAGCAGCAGCCAAGGCAGGUGCAACAUCACAAGUUGGAGAUUGGAUAUCUAUCUGAGUUUAUUGGACCAGGACCAAGCUUGAAGGUAAAGCUCUGUUGAUUAUUAUUCUUCGCAUAGCUUGGAACGCGUUUUAUAUCUAUCUCAUUUGGACCGGGAGGAAGAAUAAUCUACGGGAAAAUAAAGCGAAAAGCCAAAACUGUUUUGGAGUUACGGAAACUGUUGGAUUCCGUUUUCAGGGUCUUAGAAUGUGGCUGGAGAUGCUGUUAUUAGACAAUUUUUGUACCUGAUUGGGGCCUGUGAGAUCUUGCUCGCUUACUCUUUGUUUGUUUUUUGUUUCGUUGAUCCUUGCCGAUCUUGGAAUUUUUAGUAUCUCCUCUUCCACCAACGAUGCCAAUAGAAGGAAAAAUCCUUACGAAUUCUAUUGAUAUAAGCCUAGUCAUCUCGGUGUGCAACGUGAACUUUUUGUAGAUGCCAAAUGCAUUAAUAAAACUGGUUGAAAUACAGGGGAGGUUUAUUUUUAUUUUAUUUUAUUUUUUUUUAAAUUGGAAAUGCAUCCAUACCAAGUAGCCAGUAUCAACUAACUUGCUCCCAGCAGAAUCAGGAGAAAUAAACCCAAAAAAAUGCUAAAGGCUAGUCAGUAUAUCCUGUCGGUACUAAUGUCUUGUUCAGCCCACUUCCUCGUACGUUCCGUUGUUUGUUCACCUGCAAAUGAAUUACUCUACUACUUAAGUUUUACUGUCUACAAUUCUCAACACCUGAAUUGCAUGAGAAAAAACAGAACG